rnacentral:rRNA from 1 species
UACUGGCGUCAGGAUGAACGCUAGCGACAGGCUAACACAUGCAAGUCGAGGGGCAGCAUAAAAGUAGCAAUACUUGGUGGCGACCGGCGCACGGGUGAGUAACGCGUAUGCAACCUACCUAUCAGAGGGGAAUAACCCGGCGAAAGUCGGACUAAUACCGCAUAAAACAGGGGCACCGCAUGGUGAUAUUUGUUAAAGAAAUUCGCUGAUAGAUGGGCAUGCGUUCCAUUAGGUAGUUGGUGAGGUAACGGCUCACCAAGCCGACGAUGGAUAGGGGAACUGAGAGGUUGGUCCCCCACACUGGUACUGAGACACGGACCAGACUCCUACGGGAGGCAGCAGUGAGGAAUAUUGGUCAAUGGGCGGGAGCCUGAACCAGCCAAGUCGCGUGAAGGAAGAAGGAUCUAUGGUUCGUAAACUUCUUUUGCAGGGGAAUAAAGUGCAGGACGUGUCCUGUUUUGUAUGUACCCUGAGAAUAAGGAUCGGCUAACUCCGUGCCAGCCGCUGC